rnacentral:rRNA from 1 species
UACGUAGGGGGCAAGCGUUGUCCGGAUUUAUUGGGCGUAAAGAGCGUGUAGGCGGCUGGGUAGGUCCGUUGUGAAAACUCGAGGCUCAACCUCGAGCUGUCGGCGGAAACCAUCUGGCUAGAGUCCGGAAGAGGAGAGCGGAAUUCCUGGUGUAGCGGUGAAAUGCGCAGAUAUCAGGAAGAACACCCGUGGCGAAGGCGGCUCUCUGGGACGGUACUGACGCUGAGACGCGAAAGCGUGGGGAGCGAACAGG